AGCGAACGCUGGCGGCAGGCCUAACACAUGCAAGUCGAACGAACCCUUCGGGGUUAGUGGUGGACGGGUGAGCAACACGUGGGAACGUGCCUUUAGGUUCGGAAUAACUCAGGGAAACUUGUGCUAAUACCGAAUGUGCCCUUCGGGGGAAAGAUUUCUCGCCUUUCGUGCGGCCCGCGGAGGAGUGGCUAGUUGGUGAGGCAAUGGCUUACCAAGGCUACGAUCAGUAGCUGGUCUGAGAGGAUGAACAGCCACAUUGGGACUGAGACACGGCAUAAACUCCUACGGAAGGCAGCAGUGGGGAAUGUUGCGCAAUGGGCGAAAGCCUGACGCUGCCAGGCCGCGUGGAUGAUUAAGGUCUUAGGAUUGUAAAAUCCUUUCAACGGUGAAGAUAAUGACUGUAGCCGGAGAAGAAGCCCCGGCUAACUUCGUGCCAGCCGCCGCGGUAAGAC
rnacentral:rRNA from 1 species